rnacentral:rRNA from 1 species
UACGUAGGGUGCAAGCGUUAAUCGGAAUUACUGGGCGUAAAGCGUGCGCAGGCGGUUUUUCAAGACAGAUGUGAAAUCCCCGGGCUUAACCUGGGAAUGGCAUUUGUGACUGGAAGGCUAGAGUGUGUCAGAGGGGGGUAGAAUUCCACGUGUAGCAGUGAAAUGCGUAGAGAUGUGGAGGAAUACCGAUGGCGAAGGCAGCCCCCUGGGAUAACACUGACGCUCAUGCACGAAAGCGUGGGGAG